AAUUCAUGAUGAGGACACAUUCUCAAAAGAUCCCUAAAUCUCUCCCAUGCAUCAUAUAAUGUCUCCAAAUCAAUUUGAGUACAAGAAGAAAUAUCAUUUCUCAACUU
rnacentral:snoRNA from 1 species